rnacentral:rRNA from 1 species
AGAACGAACGCUGGCGGCAUGCCUAACACAUGCAAGUCGAACGAGACCUUCGGGUCUAGUGGCGCACGGGUGCGUAACGCGUGGGAAUCUGCCCUUAGGUACGGAAUAACAGUGAGAAAUUACUGCUAAUACCGUAUGAUGUCUUCGGACCAAAGAUUUAUCGCCUAGGGAUGAGCCCGCGUUGGAUUAGCUAGUUGGUGGGGUAAAGGCCUACCAAGGCGACGAUCCAUAGCUGGUCUGAGAGGAUGAUCAGCCACACUGGGACUGAGACACGGCCCAGACUCCUACGGGAGGCAGCAGUGGGGAAUAUUGGACAAUGGGCGAAAGCCUGAUCCAGCAAUGCCGCGUGAGUGAAGAAGGCCUUCGGGUUGUAAAGCUCGUUUUACCCGGGAAGAUAAUGACUGUACCGGGAGAAUAACGCCCGGCUAACUCCGCGCCAGCGCCGC